UCGUGAAUGGUUCCACAAAUAUUGACACUCAAAAAGGAACCAAAUAAACGGUUGUUAUUUGUAUUCAUUGCACAUUAACAGUGUGUUUGGAAUAUUUUGUGGUGCGGAAAAUACAAGCAAAUCUUGUGGUCCAGUGGUAAUUGUCUGCGCUUUGUAUGACCGUAAAUGUAUUUUUAGCGUGUUUACAUUGUCGUGUACACAAUCAUGGAUUGUCAAUUGGAAUUGUCUACAAAUUAUGAAGGAAUUAUGGCAUCUGUCGGGUGGAAGUGUUAAUUUGCACCUUGUACCACGACGCAAUGCGAGACUAUAAAAGAGCACUCAGUAUCCGCUGCGCAAUCAAUACAACAUUACUUUACAACUAGCUACACAUCAAUUUUAAUAUUAUUUACCUUUAAAAUAUACGAUUUUAAUAAUGGACUUAAUUAAAAACGGAAUAAUUUUUGUUAUCCUGGUAUGCGCGGCGAGUUGUGCGCCCGCGCAGGUGGAUUUCAAUGAAAUGGACCCUCAAGCAAGUUUGAUAAAAGGACUAACCGCUGGUGCUGUCUCCGCGGGGACGGAUAUGGGUGCCCAGGAUGGUGCUAAUGGAAGGACAGCGGUUGUGGCAACUCAACCGGCUGAAGCGACUAAGGACAAAGCGUUUACGCAAACGCAGCCGGAAACAAAGCGGGCGGACGCAAUAAGGAUAACGGUGGCGGCUCCCACGAGAACACGUCGGCAGGUUCUCUACGUGCGCACCAAGCGGAAGCAGAAUCGAAAAAAAUUGAGCACUCUGCAUCUGAUCUACGGUAAAUGAGCAAACAACAAACAAGACAACAACCUCGAUUGAUCAUUAUAAGGAUUAGAGUAGUCCUAUUUAUUUUUGGCUAACAUUUAGACCGCCUCUAUACUUUUUUUACGUUCGACUGGUGCCGACUGAUGGCAAUAGAAAUGUUAAUUUUAUACGCGACAAUAUAUUUAUUUCGUAAUC